rnacentral:rRNA from 1 species
GACGAACGCUGGCGGCGUGCCUAAUACAUGCAAGUCGAACGCUUCUUUCCUCCCGAGUGCUUGCACUCAAUUGGAAAGAGGAGUGGCGGACGGGUGAGUAACACGUGGGUAACCUACCCAUCAGCGGGGGAUAACACUUGGAAACAGGUGCUAAUACCGCAUAACAGUUUAUGCCGCAUGGCAUAAGAGUGAAAGGCGCUUUCGGGUGUCGCUGAUGGAUGGACCCGCGGUGCAUUAGCUAGUUGGUGAGGUAACGGCUCACCAAGGCCACGAUGCAUAGCCGACCUGAGAGGGUGAUCGGCCACACUGGGACUGAGACACGGCCCAGACUCCUACGGGAGGCAGCAGUAGGGAAUCUUCGGCAAUGGACGAAAGUCUGACCGAGCAACGCCGCGUGAGUGAAGAAGGUUUUCGGAUCGUAAAACUCUGUUGUUAGAGAAGAACAAGGACGUUAGUAACUGAACGUCCCCUGACGGUAUCUAACCAGAAAGCCACGGCUAACUACGUG